rnacentral:rRNA from 1 species
GCAAGUCGAGCGGAGACAGACGGAAGCUGCUUCUGUCUGUUCAGCGGCGGACGGGUGAGUAACGCGUGAGCAACCUGCCUUUAACAGGGGAAUAACGCAUCGAAAGAUGUGCUAAUACCGCAUAAGACCACAGCAUCACAUGGUGCAGGGGUCAAAGGAGCAAUCCGGUUAAAGAUGGGCUCGCGUCCGAUUAGCUGGUUGGUGAGACAACAGCCCACCAAGGCGACGAUCGGUAGCCGACCUGAGAGGGUGAUGGCCACAUUGGAACUGAGAUACGGUCCAGACUCCUACGGGAGGCAGCAGUGGGGAAUAUUGGGCAAUGGGCGAAAAAGCCUGACCCAGCAACGCCGCGUGAGGGAAGAAGGGUUUCGGCUCGUAAACCUCUGUCCUAUGGGACGAAGGAAGUGACGGUACCAUAGGAGGAAGCCCCGGCUAACUACGUGCCAGCCGCCGC